rnacentral:rRNA from 1 species
GACGAACGCUGGCGGCGUGCUUAACACAUGCAAGUCGAACGGUGAAGCGCCUUCCUUUUUGGUGGGUGUGGAUGAGUGGCGAACGGGUGAGUAACACGUGAGUAACCUGCCCCCUUCUUCUGGAUAACCGCAUGAAAGUGUGGCUACUACCGGAUAUUCUGGGUCUGUCGCCUGAUGGGUCUGGGACCGCUCUUGUCUCGGUGCGCGACGCGCUCGCGGCCUAUCAGCUUGUUGGUGGGGUGAUGGCCUCCCAAGGCGGUGACGGGUAGCCGGCCUGAGAGGGUGGACGGUCACACUGGGACUGAGACACGGCCCAGACUCCUACGGGAGGCAGCAGUGGGGAAUAUUGCACAAUGGGCGCAAGCCUGAUGCAGCGACGCCGCGUGAGGGAUGGAGGCCGUCGGGUUGUGAACCUCUUUCGCCAGUGAAGCAGGCCUGCCUCGUUUGUGGGUGGGUUGACGGUAGCUGGAGAAGAAGCGCCGGCUAACUACGUG